rnacentral:sRNA from 1 species
GUAAUAGAGUUCUAGAGUUCAAUUAAUAGCAUUGCUAUUUUGAGUUGGUUUAUACCAGAAAUAUCUUUUAUGUUGUCGACGUCUGAUCAUUGUUUUGAUUCUCCUGCUCGUCAGAGAUUGAAAACGAGGCUGCUUCCGCCAGAAGAAGGUCUGUGAUCCAAACAUAGAACCUCUAUGUGUCACACUUUGGCUUAACCAUUCGCCAAGGGAAGUCACUCAG